rnacentral:rRNA from 1 species
GAUGAACGCUGGCGGCGUGCCUAAUACAUGCAAGUCGAGCGAAUGGAUUAAGAGCUUGCUCUUAUGAAGUUAGCGGCGGACGGGUGAGUAACACGUGGGUAACCUGCCCAUAAGACUGGGAUAACUCCGGGAAACCGGGGCUAAUACCGGAUAAUAUUUUGAACUGCAUGGUUCAAAAUUGAAAGGCGGCUUCGGCUGUCACAUAUGGAUGGACCCGCGUCGCAUUAGCUCGUGGGUGAGGUAACGGCUCACCAAGGCAACGAUGCGUAGCCGACCUGAGAGGGUGAUCGGCCACACUGGGACUGAGACACGGCCCAGACUCCUACGGGAGGCAGCAGUAGGGAAUCUUCCGCAAUGGACGAAAGUCUGACGGAGCAACGCCGCGUGAGUGAUGAAGGCUUUCGGGUCGUAAAACUCUGUUGUUAGGGAAGAACAAGUGCUAGUUGAAUAAGCUGGCACCUUGACGGUACCUAACCAGAAAGCCACGGCUAACUACGUGCCAGCCGCCGCAGUAA